rnacentral:lncRNA from 1 species
CCCCUUGGUUAGAAUUUCUUCUCAGCUACGUUAUAGACCAAUGGAUUACAACCUGCAGAGAAGAAAGUAAAUCAAAACCUUCAGAAGAAGUUUGAAGUUGAAUAGUGAAACUUAAGCGACCAAUUAAAUCUAUGCAAAGUACUUUUGGUUAGACAAUAUUUAUUCUCAUUUUCCAUGAUUAUGGAAGAAAAUGAUACUGAAGAUGAACUGAAUAGAAGGUCGAAAAGAUAAAGUCAUAACAAGCUACGAAGGAGCUUCUGCGCUUAAAAAUAUUAAUCAACAUGAUAACCACUAAAAGAAAUAUGUGAAUUAUCAGAUGUUUGUGCUUUUGAUAAUGCUUGCUAUAGGUAAUGGUAUAACCUAAAAAAUCUGUCAACUUCCUGUCAUGUCAUUCCCGCUGAAGGUCUUGCAGGUAUGUUACACGAGGUAAAAAUUUGAAUAUUGGGACCUUAGUCUGAAAAUGUAUCCAAGUUUGGGAUGAACAAUAUCUGGUGAUUGUGAAGACGGACAAAGGAACGCUGUACAUGCUAUUGUACGUAUAUCCGGGGGUAUAUUCACCUCUGCUAUAUACUUAUUAGGUUAAAGAAAAUUUAAAUAGAGUGUAUUUUCCACCUUGUAAAAAUCUAGGUUUCUGUUUAAUCAUGGUAAAAAUUACAUUUAGGAGUCUGUCAAACAGAUUGAUGUGAUCAGUACGUCUGACAUCUUAUGUAUUUUGUGAGCGGUUUUAGUGCAUGUUCUUCCGAUUGGUUUGCUUGUCAUUGCCCCUUUCCUUUAUCUUUUUUGAGACGAGAGUCUACCAGAAACAACCUCUGUGCCUUCUUAAAGAUAGUGUGGGAAUACACUGGGUUUGUUGUUAUUGUUCUAGUGCAUGUUCUAUGAGAUCUCUGCUCUUCUUGAGUUAAAGCUCAAAUAUCUUGCUGAGUUGAGGCACUACUUAAAGCAUCUAGUAUAACGAGUUUUUACAAUGAUGCUAUGUAUGUUCUCCAUUUCACACCCAUGUAUCACUUAAUUUUGAAGCUAUUGAGUUGAAGAAUAUGAUUAUUAAGCAAGCAAAGCUACUGUGCUCUUGCAAAUUCUCUGCCUUCUGGAAUGUCUUGCAAGCUAGUGCUUGUUUGGCCUUGUGCGACCAUGCAGAGUCCGCUGGAUUGUCUGCCUUACUGGCAUUUUUAAGACAUAAAUUCGAAUCUGUUUUUCUGUUAACUUUGUGUUCCAUUACCUUGUACAUUCAAGUGUUGUUUCUCUUGCUUGAUUGUAGUUUAUAGUCAGUCUGGAAGCCCUUCUUCUACUGGAUGUUACUUCUUUUGGCUUCUAUGCUCUUAAUUGAUCAUUGUGUCUAUUCCUCAAGUAGCUGUUGAAGACAUAAUUAAGUAAAUAAAAGUGUGCUAUCUCUAACAGCUUAAUUAAGCUUUUAGAUGAGAUGGUCACACACACUUCAACAUGGUAUAGGAGAGGUCUCGGGUUCAAGUCUCACUGCCACCCAAUAUCAAAACGAAUUUUCACGUGCUUGGCUCAAAAAAGAAUCA